UGCAAGUCGAACGGUGAAGGCGGAGCUUGCUCUGCUGGAUCAGUGGCGAACGGGUGAGUAACACGUGAGCAAUCUGCCCCUGACUCUGGGAUAAGCGCUGGAAACGGCGUCUAAUACUGGAUACGAGCUGCGAAGGCAUCUUCAGCAGCUGGAAAGAACUUCGGUCAGGGAUGAGCUCGCGGCCUAUCAGCUUGUUGGUGAGGUAACGGCUCACCAAGGCGUCGACGGGUAGCCGGCCUGAGAGGGUGACCGGCCACACUGGGACUGAGACACGGCCCAGACUCCUACGGGAGGCAGCAGUGGGGAAUAUUGCACAAUGGGCGAAAGCCUGAUGCAGCAACGCCGCGUGAGGGACGACGGCCUUCGGGUUGUAAACCUCUUUUAGCAGGGAAGAAGCGAAAGUGACGGUACCUGCAGAAAAAGCGCCGGCUAACUACGUGCCAGCAGCCGCGGUAAUACGUAGGGCGCAAGCGUUAUCCGGAAUUAUUGGGCGUAAAGAGCUCGUAGGCGGUUUGUCGCGUCUGCUGUGAAACCCCGAGGCUCAACCUCGGGCCUGCAGUGGGUACGGGCAGACUAGAGUGCGGUAGGGGAGAUUGGAAUUCCUGGUGUAGCGGUGGAAUGCGCAGAUAUCAGGAGGAACACCGAUGGCGAAGGCAGAUCUCUGGGCCGUAACUGACGCUGAGGAGCGAAAGGGUGGGGAGCAAACAGGCUUAGAUACCCUGGUAGUCCACCCCGUAAACGUUGGGAACUAGUUGUGGGGUCCAUUCCACGGAUUCCGUGACGCAGCUAACGCAUUAAGUUCCCCGCCUGGGGAGUACGGCCGCAAGGCUAAAACUCAAAGGAAUUGACGGGGACCCGCACAAGCGGCGGAGCAUGCGGAUUAAUUCGAUGCAACGCGAAGAACCUUACCAAGGCUUGACAUAUACGAGAACGGGCCAGAAAUGGUCAACUCUUUGGACACUCGUAAACA
rnacentral:rRNA from 1 species